rnacentral:lncRNA from 1 species
CAAGUCCUUCUCUGCAGGGCUGCUCUGAAGGAGCUAAGGCUGGAUUAAAGCCUUUGUUGUCUCCAUUAUCUCUGCAUUAUAUACCAAAGGGACUUGGAGGUACUGCAAGUUCAUCGCAGGUCUGCAGGUGCUCUUCCAUAAGCAACAGGGGUACAUAUUUCAGCCCUGAACAAACAGAGGCCGUAGGGGGAAUAGCAUGCAAACGUGUCAUUUACGAGUGAGUCAUAACACAUGCACAACAGGAGCAUAGGUAACUUCAAAUCUGGCAUGGUGAUACUUGUGUAUGCUUGGUAUUGCAGUUCUAGUAGUGUGUGUAUAAAAUACGUGUGUUGAGCCUCUCUAUAAACAAAGUAUAUGUAUUAAAGCUUUGCUGUUGAGAAGCAGCCAAUCUUUGUUUCAGUAGCAGGUGGGAACAAAUUAUACAGAGCACUGAAAUAAAGCUGAAGAAAGGGUUGUUUUGUUUGGAGAUAUUACUUCUGUUCUCAUUCUCAUUUUCUUUUCCUCCUUUGCUUUAAUCAAAACUCUUAACCCAAGAGCAUACCUCAGAGCUCAGACAAGCCCAUGGGGAAUUUUUGAAAUAUCCAGGAGUGCAAAGAAGCAAUUUUUGCUUUAUUUUGCCGUGGUUGCAAAUGUUUUGUACUAGGUCUGUUUUUUCCUCAGUGCUCAGGAAAAUUACGUACAGUCUUAUUUAGUGAACACCAAUUAACUGGCAUAGGUAAACGAGCAUCAGUGUGUCAUCCCCUCCAUGCAUGAGAAGAACCAGCACUGGGAGUUGUAAUGAAAUGAUGUGUGUUUUCACAUUUCAGAGUAACUCUCCAUUUCAGUGCUGAUGUGUGGACAUGGCUACCGGCAACAAGCUAGUUUCAAUAUGAUUAGAUUAAGGAGCAAUAAGAUUAAAUUAAAGAAUACCAAAUGAAACUUCAAUGGGAAAGAAAUUUCUUGAUGGAGAGACUCAGCUAACAUGACAAAUAUAUCUCAUAACCCAACAUUGAAUCACUUAGGAAGUAUACUGUACAGAAAUUUGAUACAGGAAGGGAUUAAAUAAUCGAGUGCCUCAUACCUAUCUGGGAGUUUAAACUAUUCCUCUUUUUGCAGACUGGGGUAGUUUGGGAUGAAGAAGACAGUUAAGAAGAACAAACGCUGUUGUAAGUCGACUCUUAUAAAUCAUCCUGCUGGAGAGGAGGUGGGCUUCUUCUGUCAUGGAACAAAGUGACUUGAAAGUGAGGCUGGAGUGAAGCAUAGCCUGAACGCUGAUGUGAGUGACUCAGAUUUACAGGGGUGAGAGAAAAAGGGCCUAAAUUCCCACGUAUUUCUGGCUGCUAUUCUAUUAAUCUGUUUUCGACCAAGGCCAAUCUUUUUAAUUUCAAAUGCCUUUGAAACACAUUUAGUUUUUUUACACAUUGCUUCCUUGAACAAGAGAGAAAAGAUAUGUGUGUGCAGAUGAUUCAGCUGAAAAACUCUUUUAAAUGGCCAUUCUCAUGUUAUUGAUACAGAGAUACAAUUUUGUUGCUACUUGUUUGCAUAACGGAAGUUCCAAAUGAAAUGAUCUCCCUCGGUAUCUAGACAAGGCACUCAGGAAAAGGUUAAUGAACCUCUAGAACUGUAAGUUCUAAAUCAGACUGGUGCUCAGCUGGCAGUGUAUGGGAUAUUUCCCUCCUGUCUGCCAGCUUUCUCCCUGGAGGAAUUUAAGAUGAGGUUUACAGACAGCAUACACAGAUGGAAAAGUUCAGUAAUUCCUUUUGUCCUCAGAAACACCUGGAGUGCAAGAGAAGACACUGCUGUAUCCUCCUUGCCUGUGCGCUGUGCUGCCUGCUUUGUACGUGGCACUCGGCAGCUGCGGUCUCAUCGUGCCUAGGGCACCGAUGGGCAUCCAUACGAUGAGAGAGGAUGUGAACCAGCUCUCAUUAGCAAGUAGAACAGGCUAAGCACUUUAUUUCUGUAAUGUGCUAGAAAACCAUACCUGUGAGUGUAUUUCUUAUUGGAUGAGUUUGGAUUCCAGGAGAGCAUGCACUCAGGCUAUCACUUAGGCACAGCCAGGAUGGUUAUAUGGCUUGCUCUGAAAUCCCAUAAAAUAUGGCAUCUUAC